GACGAACGCUGGCGGCGUGCCUAAUACAUGCAAGUUGAGCGCUGAAGGUUGGUACUUGUACCAACUGGAUGAGCAGCGAACGGGUGAGUAACGCGUGGGGAAUCUGCCUUUGAGCGGGGGACAACAUUUGGAAACGAAUGCUAAUACCGCAUAAAAACUUUAAACACAAGUUUUAAGUUUGAAAGAUGCAAUUGCAUCACUCAAAGAUGAUCCCGCGUUGUAUUAGCUAGUUGGUGAGGUAAAGGCUCACCAAGGCGAUGAUACAUAGCCGACCUGAGAGGGUGAUCGGCCACAUUGGGACUGAGACACGGCCCAAACUCCUACGGGAGGCAGCAGUAGGGAAUCUUCGGCAAUGGACGAAAGUCUGACCGAGCAACGCCGCGUGAGUGAAGAAGGUUUUCGGAUCGUAAAACUCUGUUGGUAGAGAAGAACGUUGGUGAGAGUGGAAAGCUCAUCAAGUGACGGUAACUACCCAGAAAAGGACGGCUAACUACGUG
rnacentral:rRNA from 1 species